GGGAAUAGUGAGGUCUCAGACCCCACCUUGCUUUGAGGAGCCAUGGAAAAUCUCUUGGGUUCCUCAGAGGAUUCUGCAAGGACAGGACAGGUGAUGAGCUGCUAUUCCAUGACCCACCUGAGUACGAAGCCGCCUCCUAAGACCAACUAGAGGCCAACGACGAUCCAAAAGUGAUUUUAGAGCUUAUUGCCGAAACGUUCUCUCGAGACCUGGAGUGUUACUUUCUGCCUGUGGCUGUUCCUGGAGCAGAAGAAUAGGUGAUUGUCUCCAAGUGAGAUCACAUCUUCCGAGGGGGUCAGUGCUGGAGAAUCUUGGGCUGGAAGAAGACCGACUGGUGAGAGGACAAGUCUGGGCCAUCCGGCUGAACGGGAUCUCUUUGAAUUCUUGGAAGGUCUAUCCUUGCCUCAAUAUGAAGAACUGUGCAUUUGGGGGCUUUUUCCUAAGUCUGGACUGUUAAAUCAACAUUAGCAAAAUGCCACUUGCGGGGGAAAAAAAGAGGUUUUAAGUGGAGUCAUCGGUGGUUUUACUCUUCCAAAGUCUUCUGCUUAAAGUGAGGACCAAGAGUGCCACAGACUGUGUGCGUCUCCUAAAAGUUCGUCUGUUGGAAAGAGUCCUUAAAGUGAUUGGUGUUGGGAGGUGGGGCCUUAAGGAAGUGACGGGUUGUGAGGGUGGAGGCUUUGUGGGUGGGAUUAGUGCCCUCCAGAGCCCCUAACUUCGUCCGCCACACGAGCACGCAGAAGAAGGCGGCCACCUACGAACCAGGAAGAGAGUCCCCACUGAACACCCAGUCUGCCAGCAUCUUGACCUUGGACUUCCCAGCCGCCAGAACUGUGAGAAAUAAGUUUGCAUAGUUUACAAGCCCCUGGAGAUACGAUAUCGUCAUAGCAGCUCAAAAGGACGAAGACAAAGACAAGUGUUUCUGCUAUCAGGCGGCAGGUGCCAUUCGGCCAAAGCCCACGGUCUGCAAAAUCUGCACUCUGGAAACUGAGGUCACAGGAAAAAUAGAGUCCUAGCCAGACUAUUCAAAACCUACAUUGGGGCGCCUGGGUGGCUCAGUCGGUUGAGCGUCCAACUUCGGCUCAGGUCAUGAGCCGUCGCUAGGAGCGAGUCUCCGAUAGCAAAACAGCAGCAGACCGGCCAGCACCGCCCCCUCCAGGACUUCUUCAUGGCAGCCACGGUACCCUCCCGCAUCGUGGCGACCAUCCAGAAACAUCUGUGGAGCACACAGGGAUGCGCGGAUGCUGCUGACACCGCGGGGGAACGAAUACCCAGGAAAGCAAGACUCCCAUCAUCGGCAAAUCGUUGGGUGAGGGUGACAGACGACUAAAUCAGCGUGAGAUAACGGUCAGAAAGGAGAGGGGUGCUCGGUCUCACCAUCAUCCCAGACUCACCUAGAACACUGCCACCUGCUGGCUUGGGGGCAGUUCUGUGGAGCCGUUCCGGGCAAUGACUCCAGGUUUACAGCAGCUUCGAUUCACACACCGCCUCUCCCAGGGACGCUUAACCGAGUGACUCUCACGAUGCAUGCGCCUGUCUUCUAUAAGGCGGAGGUAAUAAUAAUAAAAAUAGUACUUGUCUCCUGCCGAGGGCGAAAGGAAAUACCGGGCAGAAAGCGCUCGGCACGGCGCCAACACCUGCCAGAGCCGAUUUCGCUCUCCCUCUGCAUUUGGGGACAGGCGGGACACGGGCAUCUCUGCCCACUCAGGCUACAGCACACAGUUCCUGGCACUCCAGGGGGUCAGCGGAGCGAGCGAAUUCCGACGGGCGUGAAUACGGCAUCUGAAAACUGCCGAGGACGAUUCUCUGUCUUCAUUUUGUCCGAUCCUCACAUUCUGACGAGGUGGCAGUGCCGGUGGCCGGGCUCCAUCCGCUGAUGACGACACCAAGCCUUGGACGAGGCAGCGUGUGGCCUGGAGCCACUCGGCCCGUCGGCAGGUGCACCGGGAUGCCCGGCCAGCCAGCCAGCCCCGUGCGCUCUGGGGGGACCCCACCCACGCCUGCGGAGGCUGGGCUGGCAAAGGGCUGGGCAACCCCGUCCACAUGCUGGACGACGGCGUUGAAACACUUCGGACCCCUGACACCUUGGGGUUUCUCGCACAAAAAUCCCAUCAGCUUGGCGUACCUGCAAAAAACUCCUAAGUGAGACAAGGCAGAAUUUUUAAACUGCAUUUCAGACCGUCCGUGUGGGAGGACGCAUUUUAGAGCACCUGUGGCGAUGACAUCAGGCUUCGUGGGACACUGAUUCUGGAAGGUUAAGAACCCCGAAAGGGGCUCCCACCGAGUCAUCGUUUGCCCACGGAGGGUUGUGUCGAAGGCCCUCACACGUGCCGUAGGCAACGCUCCGCCUUCUGUGUUUAACACCACAUAAUCCAUGGGGGUGGGGGCUCCGGAAGGCUCGGGGGCGGCUGGCCUGGGACUCCCUGUUAAAGCAGCAACUUCACAUCCUAAGAGCAGGUGCAGAGAUGUUCUAGUCGGAGGGCAUUUGGGGAAAUGACAGACCAUUGAAGAAAACAAUACCUCCCCCCAGGAUAAACAGCACUGAUUAUGGUGGUUUUCAGCGACUGUCCUACUUCAUGUUGACUGAAGUCAGGAGGGUGGGUCUGUCCACACUUCCAGCCCAGGAAACCUGCCUUCUCCCUGGAUGAAGGAUGAGGUAGCCAGGAAAGAUGACGAGGACACAGGACAGCCCAGCCAGCUGCUCCCUGCCGGAUGAGCGUCCCCCCGGGGGACCUGCCGUGGGGCCCAGCAAAGGCAGGGCGGCGAAUGCCCACCAUCUCCCCUUCAGCCAGGCCUUCACCUGACACCCUCUGUAUACGUCCUGUGUGCCGGGCGAUGUUCUGGGCUGGGGGGAAGGGAGAGGACGAGAGACCAAGCCCCUUCUAACCUGGGGCUCCUACUCAAGGAGGGUCAGGUAUCACCCCAAAACAAGCCACCAACAUUCAGGGAGGGGCAGCACCACACAGGAUUAAGAGGGGCCAGUCACACAGGGCCAGCUAGGAGUUUCCAGGAGCACCUGGAAGCUACUAGAAGCUGCAAGCAGAGAAGUGAAAUGAUCCAGCAAAUUUUAAAAUUAUAAAUCACCUGAUUUCAUUGCUCAACAAAUCCCAUGACUCCCUCUUCUCUGCUGAGGCAACUGAGGCUCGGAGCCAUGAGAUAAUGGUUCUGAGGGUCCCCAAAUCUAGAAGUGUCAAGGCCAAGGUCUGAACUCUGCACGCCUAAGACCCCUGCACUAUGACCCCCCACGUUCCACCUGCCCACUGUGGUCGUAGAAUCCCCAACUAGAACAACACUACUCACAGCCCCUACUCCCACCAAUAAACUCAGGACUAAUGGACCCGUUCA